rnacentral:rRNA from 1 species
UACGUAGGGUGCAAGCGUUGUCCGGAAUUAUUGGGCGUAAAGAGCUCGUAGGCGGUUUGUCGCGUCUGCUGUGAAAACCCGAAGCUCAACCUCGGGCCUGCAGUGGGUACGGGCAGACUAGAGUGCGGUAGGGGAGAUUGGAAUUCCUGGUGUAGCGGUGAAAUGCGCAGAUAUCAGGAGGAACACCGGUGGCGAAGGCGCCGCUCUGGGCCGAAACUGACGCUGAGGAGCGAAAGUGUGGGGAGCGAACAGG